UCCUUGGGUGGCGAGUGGCGGACGGGUGAGGAAUACGUCGGAAUCUGCCUAUUUGUGGGGGAUAACGUAGGGAAACUUACGCUAAUACCGCAUACGACCUACGGGUGAAAGCGGAGGACCUUCGGGCUUCGCGCAGAUAGAUGAGCCGACGUCGGAUUAGCUAGUUGGCGGGGUAAAGGCCCACCAAGGCGACGAUCCGUAGCUGGUCUGAGAGGAUGAUCAGCCACACUGGAACUGAGACACGGUCCAGACUCCUACGGGAGGCAGCAGUGGGGAAUAUUGGACAAUGGGCGCAAGCCUGAUCCAGCCAUGCCGCGUGUGUGAAGAAGGCCUUCGGGUUGUAAAGCACUUUUGUCCGGAAAGAAAAGCUUCGGGUUAAUACCCCGAGGUCAUGACGGUACCGGAAGAAUAAGCACCGGCUAACUUCGUGCCAGCAGCCGCGGUAAUACGAAGGGUGCAAGCGUUACUCGGAAUUACUGGGCGUAAAGCGUGCGUAGGUGGUUUGUUAAGUCUGAUGUGAAAGCCCUGGGCUCAACCUGGGAAUGGCAUUGGAAACUGGCUUACUAGAGUGCGGUAGAGGGUAGUGGAAUUCCCGGUGUAGCAGUGAAAUGCGUAGAUAUCGGGAGGAACAUCUGUGGCGAAGGCGACUACCUGGACCAGCACUGACACUGAGGCACGAAAGCGU
rnacentral:rRNA from 1 species